GAUGAACGCUGGCGGCGUGCCUAAUACAUGCAAGUCGAGCGAACGGACGAGAAGCUUGCUUCUCUGAUGUUAGCGGCGGACGGGUGAGUAACACGUGGGUAACCUACCUAUAAGACUGGGAUAACUUCGGGAAACCGUAGCUAAUACCGGAUAAUAUUUUGAACCGCAUGGUUCAAAAGUGAAAGACGGUCUUGCUGUCACUUAUAGAUGGAUCCGCGCUGCAUUAGCUAGUUGGUAAGGUAACGGCUUACCAAGGCAACGAUGCAUAGCCGACCUGAGAGGGUGAUCGGCCACACUGGAACUGAGACACGGUCCAGACUCCUACGGGAGGCAGCAGUAGGGAAUCUUCCGCAAUGGGCGAAAGCCUGACGGAGCAACGCCGCGUGAGUGAUGAAGGUCUUCGGAUCGUAAAACUCUGUUAUUAGGGAAGAACAUAUGUGUAAGUAACUGUGCACAUCUUGACGGUACCUAAUCAGAAAGCCACGGCUAACUACGUGCCAGCAGCCGCGGUAAUACGUAGGUGGCAAGCGUUAUCCGGAAUUAUUGGGCGUAAAGCGCGCGUAGGCGGUUUUUUAAGUCUGAUGUGAAAGCCCACGGCUCAACCGUGGAGGGUCAUUGGAAACUGGAAAACUUGAGUGCAGAAGAGGAAAGUGGAAUUCCAUGUGUAGCGGUGAAAUGCGCAGAGAUAUGGAGGAACACCAGUGGCGAAGGCGACUUUCUGGUCUGUAACUGACGCUGAUGUGCGAAAGCGUGGGGAUCAAACAGGAUUAGAUACCCUGGUAGUCCACGCCGUAAACGAUGAGUGCUAAGUGUUAGGGGGUUUCCGCCCCUUAGUGCUGCAGCUAACGCAUUAAGCACUCCGCCUGGGGAGUACGACCGCAAGGUUGAAACUCAAAGGAAUUGACGGGGACCCGCACAAGCGGUGGAGCAUGUGGUUUAAUUCGAAGCAACGCGAAGAACCUUACCAAAUCUUGACAUCCUUUGACAACUCUAGAGAUAGAGCCUUCCCCUUCGGGGGACAAAGUGACAGGUGGUGCAUGGUUGUCGUCAGCUCGUGUCGUGAGAUGUUGGGUUAAGUCCCGCAACGAGCGCAACCCUUAAGCUUAGUUGCCAUCAUUAAGUUGGGCACUCUAAGUUGACCGCCGGUGACAAACCGGAGGAAGGUGGGGAUGACGUCAAAUCAUCAUGCCCCUUAUGAUUUGGGCUACACACGUGCUACAAUGGACAAUACAAAGGGCAGCGAAACCGCGAGGUCAAGCAAAUCCCAUAAAGUUGUUCUCAGUUCGGAUUGUAGUCUGCAACUCGACUACAUGCAGCUGGAAUCGCUAGUAAUCGUAGAUCAGCAUGCUACGGUGAAUACGUUCCCGGGUCU
rnacentral:rRNA from 1 species